AAACUGGGAUUAGAUACCCCACUAUGCUUUGCCUUAAACAUUGAUAGCCUCAUACAACCACUAUCCGCCCGGGAACUACGAGCAACAGCUUAAAACCCAAAGGACUUGGCGGUGCUUUAGACCCACCUAGAGGAGCCUGUUCUAAAACCGAUAACCCCCGUUCAACCUCACCUUUCCUUGUUCCCCCCGCCUAUAUACCGCCGUCGUCAGCUUACCCUAUGAAGGUCCCUUAGUAAGCACAAUUGGUACAACCCAAAACGUCAGGUCGAGGUGUAGCGUAUGGAAAGGGAAGAAAUGGGCUACAUUCCCUACUACAGCGAAUUACGGACAAUAUCACUGAAACGUGUAUCUAGAAGGAGGAUUUAGCAGUAAGCAGAAAAUAGAGCGUUCUGCUGAAACCGGCCCUGAAGCGCGCACACACCGCCCGCCCGUUCAACCUC
rnacentral:rRNA from 1 species